GUAAGGUCAUCACGUAAUUAUAUAGACACAGGUGAGAUUUCAUGUCAGGUAAUCACCUAAUUGUAUAGACACAGGUGAGAUUUCAGUUUCCUCGUGGCAUUGCACUGAUGUGACCGGGUGUGUGGGUCGUUUUCCUCACUCCUCUGGAAAGAUUAGUCGUGUGUGUCCAGGCAUUGUUAGCGAGUAUGUAAGUGUCAUGCGCAUGAAAGAAGUCGCCAGCUGCUGCUUUGUUGUGGCUUAUAUACCGGUUCCAGUUUUGGGACGCCGGAUUGUUGCUUGCGCACUGUUGCUUUGAACGCCUUAAGUUCGCUAUUUUCUGUACAUCGCUUGCUUUGGAGACGCAAGACCGUUGCCUCUUGUUCCGCUGCCACCUGGUGGUCGGCUGCCAGUAUAUUGAUUUGUGGUGUUCCGACUGUUGCUCGUGUGUGUGUGAGAGAGUGCGCGCGCGCGCGCGCGCCUUUGAGUUGGAUUUAAGUUUU